rnacentral:rRNA from 1 species
GCGGCCACCGCUAUCAAGUUCCGACUAAGCCAUGCGAGUCAAGGUAUCGUAAGAUGCCGGCAAACUGCUCAGUAACACGUGGAUAAUCUAACCUUGAGUAAGGGAUAACCUCGGGAAACUGAGGAUAAUACCUUAUAAUUGCUUAAAACUGGAAUGUUUAAGCAAUAAAAGUUCCGACGCUCAAGGAUGAGUCUGCGACCUAUCAGGUAGUAGGUGGUGUAAUGGACCACCUAGCCUCAGACGGGUACGGGCCCUGGGAGGGGUAGCCCGGAGAUGGACUCUGAGACAUAAGUCCAGGCCCUACGGGGCGCAGCAGGCACGAACACUGUGCAAUGCGCGAAAGCGCGACACGGGGAGCUUGAGUGUCUUGGCAUAGCCAAGACUUUUCUCAUUCCUAAAAAGCAUGAGGAAUAAGUGCUGGGUAAGACGGGUGCCAGCCGCCGCGGUAACACCCGCAGCACGAGUAGUGGUCACUUUUAUUGAGCCUAAAGCGUUCGUAGCCGGUUUUGUAAAUCUUCAGAUAAAGCCUGAAGCUUAACUCCAGAAAGUCUGAAGAGACUGCAAGACUUGAGAUCGGGUGAGGUUAAACGUACUUUCAGGGUAGGGGUAAAAUCCUGUAAUCCCGGAAGGACGACCAGUGGCGAAAGCGUUUAACUAGAACGAAUCUGACGGUAAGGAACGAAGGCUAGGGUAGCAAACCGGAUUAGAUACCCGGGUAGUCCUAGCUGUAAACAUUGCCCAUUUGAUGUUGCUUUUCCGUUGAGGGAAGGCAGUGUCGGAGCGAAGGUGUUAAAUGGGCCGCUUGGGAAGUAUGGUCGCAAGACUGAAACUUAA